rnacentral:rRNA from 1 species
UACGUAGGGGGCAAGCGUUGUUCGGAAUUACUGGGCGUAAAGGGCUCGUAGGCGGCCAACUAAGUCAGACGUGAAAUCCCUCGGCUUAACCGGGGAACUGCGUCUGAUACUGGAUGGCUUGAGUUUGGGAGAGGGAUGCGGAAUUCCAGGUGUAGCGGUGAAAUGCGUAGAUAUCUGGAGGAACACCGGUGGCGAAGGCGGGUCUCUGGGCCGAUACUGACGCUGAGGAGCGAAAGCGUGGGGAGCGAACAGG